rnacentral:misc_RNA from 1 species
UUAAGCUAUUUUACAUGAAAAUGGAUUGAUCUUUGGGUUUGUGCUUGGCUGUUUGGCGGAUCUUAUUUGUUUUAUUUCUCAAAAUUGUAGUGGUUCAGUUGAGAAAAUUGAAAUAGCGAAAGUCAGGGUUUAUUGAUGGCGUGGCCUUUACUAGUACAUCUGGCAUUUUCGGAGAAAAAAUGGGAGUGGGUUUGUGGCGAUAGUUAAUACUCAUAGAUACUAUAUUUCCUCUGUCUUGAAUCGAGAGUGCUUCAAUUGCUGAUCUGGAUAAUGGAUCUGCUAUUGCUAGG